UGGUGAUUCCCAAACUACUUAUACAAAGA
rnacentral:piRNA from 1 species